rnacentral:lncRNA from 1 species
UACCAGGGAUUGAACUCGGGACCUUGCGCUUUCAAGGGGGCUGGUGGAACCACUGAGCUAAAUCCUGGCCCUUACUCAUAGCCCCUUAUCAUCUAAGAGUUGCCCUAAGGGUCUUAAACCUCUGUAUGUCUGAGUUGAUCAAGGAUGGAGAGACAACAGGGCACACCUUGAACAAGACACACAGACAAGGUGUGGGGGAACUGUCCUUAGCAGCAGUUCUGAAAUUAGGAAGGCUGAAGGCUACAUUCCUGGGGGACCAUAUCCACCUUACCCCUCCUCUACCAAGAAGGAAGAACAAAGAAAACCUUCCCUUGGAGCACAAGGCAAGGAUGUCAGCAUCCUGUGUCACCAUGGCAACUAGCCCCUACUCAGGCUCCUCAUAAGGAGCAGAAAAGCAAAAGUCAAAUAGAUCUUCCGCUGGAACAUUCUGUGGGCAAACACUGGGACCAGGGUGUUUGAACCUCUGCGUCCCCACUUAAAUAGGGUGAAUCACUCCUGCAACUGGAGCUAGGAAGCCGGCCAGGUUCCUAAAUAGGUAAGGUUAAUGGUGCUCUUGGAGAGCAUUUGCGUCACUUUGAAAAUUAAUCCUUUUUCCUCCAGAAUCUGAGUUUAUAAACGAGCAGAAUUAGAAAUUAAAGGGAAGAAACAGAUGGGAGUUCCUAGCAAGGGAUUUGAGAGCGUUACAGUUAGGCUGACAUCAUUCAUCUUUUAGCAAGAUCUUACCCAUUU